rnacentral:rRNA from 1 species
GACGAACGCUGGCGGCGUGCUUAACACAUGCAAGUCGAACGGAAAGGCCCUGCUUUUGUGGGGUGCUCGAGUGGCGAACGGGUGAGUAACACGUGAGUAACCUGCCCUUGACUUUGGGAUAACUUCAGGAAACUGGGGCUAAUACCGGAUAGGAGCUCCUGCUGCAUGGUGGGGGUUGGAAAGUUUCGGCGGUUGGGGAUGGACUCGCGGCUUAUCAGCUUGUUGGUGGGGUAGUGGCUUACCAAGACUUUGACGGGUAGCCGGCCUGAGAGGGUGACCGGCCACAUUGGGACUGAGAUACGGCCCAGACUCCUACGGGAGGCAGCGGUGGGGAAUAUUGCACAAUGGGCGGAAGCCUGAUGCAGCAACGCCGCGUGCGGGAUGACGGCCUUCGGGUUGUAAACCGCUUUCGCCUGUGACGAAGCGUGAGUGACGGUAAUGGGUAAAGAAGCACCGGCUAACUACGUG